GGUUGACACCUCCAAUGUUGAAUCUGACGAGGAACCAGCGAAGAGGGCGGUGACUAAACCAAUCAGAUUCCGUGUAGAGCCACCUGAUGAUGAUGGAAGUGAAGCACUCCAGAAAAAGACAAAUGAACCCAGACAAGCCCAGCGUACAGUGCCACAGCUUCCACCAGCCCCUAGUGUAACUUCAAGAGCCAGUGUCUUUGAAA